AAAAGUCAAGAAUGACCAGGAGACUGGCAAGCACUGAGAGACACUUCCAUGGGCAUCACUUUGAGGCCACUGGAGACACAGCGCAGAGCAGUGUAUGUAGGAGGUGUGCAUGGAGACAGCCUGGCUGGGAACUCACAGCAGUGAGUUGAGAUGGGCUAGGUAAAGCCACAAAAGUUCAGGCUGUGGAGUAAACCUUCCGUCGAAUCACUUGUGGAAUACUGGUAGCUGGUGAUUAUUCAGAUACCUGGCCAAAAGCUUACAAAAGCAUUAUCCGCAGAGAAGCAGAAAGAAGCAAGAAUCUUCCCCUUUGCAAGAAUCAGGCAGUUCUUGUGUCCUGACGUCUAAGCUGCCAUUUUCCAGGGAGAAUAUGGAAUAACUUCAGUUGAUCAAAAAGAACAAUUCCCUUCGCCCUAGCAAGCAGGGGUCAUGGACAAUGGAUGGUGUAGUCCAAAACAAGUGGAGGGACCCAGAUUGGGAAAGGCUCCUGGGUAGGACAAGCAUCAAGAAAGGAAAACCAGAUGUCAGUGCUGUUAUUCUCAUCAUAUAACAGUCAUUUCAGAAUUUCCAAGUGACAUUCCAGUGGCAUUGUCAUGGCUGCAUGUGGAGGCAUCCAUCUUGGGGAUGGGCGUGCCCUGUGGUCUGCCCAAAACAGAGGAAGACCCAGUUCUCCAACCUAUCAGAUUUUGGAAGAGUCCCUUUAUUAGACUAUGGCUCCCAGACCCUGGCUAAAAACAUCACUGGCAUGUGAAAUGGUGUUGCCACCCAACCCAGUACAACUGCUGGCAGCCCAGAGCAGAGUGCUGAAGCUAUUCUAUUCACUGGCAAAAAUAGUUCAGAUACUAAAACAAAACUGUACAAACAAAAAAAACCCCAUCAAAACCACACUAUAGUAGUAUUAUUUUAUUUCCUUUUUCAUUCUUCAGUAUAAAUUGUGCUGAUGCAGAAAAUUUUCAACUGAGGCCUACUCUUCCUUUUAUCAGCUUUUAAUUUAAUUUCUUUUAUGUUUUAAUUGCAUUUGUUUUAUCUGAGGAAUGUUGUUAGCAGCAUUGAGUGCUAUUUUUGGGGAGAAAGGAGGAGUAUAAAUCCAAUAAAUAAAUAUCAUGGAAAUAUUCAGGUCUCUGAGUAAAUAAAUCCAGUAACCC